rnacentral:rRNA from 1 species
AGUGCAACUAGAGUAAUGUUUGUUGUAAACGGCGGCGUUAACGUGAGCGUCCUAAGGUAGCGCGAUAAUUUGCUUUUCAAUUGAAGGAUGGUAUGAAAGGGUUAACGAAGAAGGUGCUGUGUCUAAAAAUUUAAUUUAAACUAACUUUAAGGUGAAGAGGCCUUUAUGUAAAAGAAGGACGACAAGACCCUAUGAAGCUUUAUCUUAAUUGGAGCUUUUAGGCUCUUAUACGAUUUUGAUGGGAGAUCAGUAGAAAUAAGUCUUCUACUAUUAUAUUAAUCUUACUAGUAUUUCCUAACUUUAUAUGUGUGGCUAGCUACUCUAGGGAUAACAGCGCAAUUUCUCCCGAAAGAUGGUAUUGGAGGGGAAGAUUGCGACCUCGAUGUUGGCUUUAGAUACCCUAG